UAGUUAUGUUCUUUAAAUUCAAUAAAUUUGGCGGUGUUUUAUUCCUGUUAGAGGAACUUGUCUAUUUAAUCGAUAAUCCUCGUUUUAUCUUUCUUUUUUUAAUAGUUUGUAUAUCGCCGUUAUAAGUUUAUUUUUUUAGAAUUUUUUAAUUUACUUUAAAUUUUAUUAAUUUUAUUUCAGGUCAAGGUGCAGCUUAUAUUAAAGUAUAGAUUAGUUACACUUUUUUUAAAUAAACUAUUUUUAAAUUUAUAAUUUUAUUUUUAGGUGGAUUUAAUAGUAAUUUUGAUAAUAGAUUCUUUUUGAUUUUGGUUUUAAAAUGAGUACACAUCGCCCGAUCGCUCUA
rnacentral:rRNA from 1 species